GACGAACGCUGGCGGCGUGGAUUAGGCAUGCAAGUCGAACGGUAUCAUCCUUUCGGGGGUGAGAGAGUGGCGAACUGGUGAGUAACACGUAGGUUAUCUACCCUCAAGACGGGGACAACCCAGGGAAACUUGGGCUAAUACCGGAUGUGAGCAACUUUUAGUUGUUUGAAAGGUGGCGUAAGCUGUCGCUUGGGGAUGAGCCUGCGUCCUAUUAGUUAGUCGGUGAGGUAACGGCUCACCUAGGCAAUGAUAGGUAGGCGGCCUUAACGGGUGGUCGCCCACACUGGGAUUGAGAUACGGCCCAGACUCCUACGGGAGGCAGCAGUCGAGAAUAGUCUACAAUGGUCGGAAGACUGAUAGUGCGACGCCGCGUGAACGAUGAAUCCCUUCGGGGUGUAAAGUUCUUUUAUAUGUGAGCAGUGCUUCUUAUAUUAACAGUAUGGGGAGAGAGAUAUUAGCAUAUGAAUAAGCAACGGCUAACUCCGUGCCAGCAGCCGCGGU
rnacentral:rRNA from 1 species